rnacentral:lncRNA from 1 species
UCGAAUGAUGUUGACAAAAUUAAGCAUUGAACAUUGAAGUCUACUACUACAAAGAAGUUGUUAUGGUACGAACAAAGCAUAUAGCAAUUACAAAUUGACAUCAUUCUUUCAUGUCUGUGCCUUCCCCUUCCCAUCGCAUUCUACAAUUCCUUUUCCUUUGCGAAAUGUUACAUCGACGUCUCGUUUCUCAAUAAUUCGAGCUAGGCUAUCAAAGAGUCUUGGCAAGUCUUCAUAUUCCUCGUUCGGCUAAUGGUUCACCUCUUCAUUAACGGUACUCGACUCUCCACUAAAAUCUUCAUUUCUCACCCAAUCGAAAUAUCCACAGUCAUUACUACAUGUGAAGAACAACCGCCCUUUGUUUUCAGUACUCCGUUCUACCUCAAAGCAUUUGUGAAAUUUGCGUUUACAUGAAGGGCAUCCAUGUAACAUUGUCCAAAGUAAUGAAUGUUACUUCUAUAGCUGUGACAAACUCUGAAAUUCAUUCCUCUCAUUCUACUCAACAAUUGUUCAAGAAACAAAUAAACCCACAUGUCUCACAUUGGAACUUAUGAGCAGUAGUACAUUGCAAACAAAGCACCAACUUAAUAUUGUAUUUCACUAACAUUCAUUUACUACCCUCUUGCAAAUACAAAUUCCAUAAAAUCAGGAUAAUUUCUUCUACUAUUACUCAGCUUCGAAAUUGGCCACAAAUUCAACAAGCUUUCCACAAUAUAAACAGAGAGCGAAAAUGAUAGAUUUCAAAUUCAGCAAACUUUCCACAGAAAAUUGUUGAAACGAAAUUAAGAAAAAAGAUGAUUUCACAAGUUUUCAUGUACGAGCUACCCUAUUUACAAGCAACAAGCAAAAUGCCAUUUCAAUAACAUGCUAAUAAUCUGAAGAACAAUAAAAAUUGAGCAAGCCGUGCCAUUAUUUAAUUAGGAAUCGAAAAGUUUUUUUGCCACAAAAUUUGUGAAAAUUCAUCAAUUUAUGAACAAACUUACAAAUUUACGACGAACACAAUUUCAAAACCUUCAACCUCAUCAAGUAAGGCUCCAUAAUGUUCAUACUUCAAAUAUAUGUCAAAAUAAAGAGGAAAAAACACCCAAAUCAAUCAAAGAAGUCUAAGACAGCUUAAAGAGAAAUUAGUGUAAAACAAUACAUAUCAAAAUACCUUUGCUCAGCUUAGACACGUAGACAUCGGCAUUGUCUUCGAAUUCUAUUUUCACCUUCGGUUUCGAUAGCUUGCCUCACACUACAUUAGAAGGAUGUUUUGGAAUAGAUGAACCCGUGCUUGUUUUUCCUUUUUCAACCCAGAAAUUCGACGAUGAAGAGCGAUGGGAAGAGUAACGGAUUUCUCUUGCUUUCUGGUUUGAAGGGAAAAAGGAAAUGAUUUC